rnacentral:rRNA from 1 species
AUUGAAGAAAUUAAGG